rnacentral:rRNA from 1 species
AGUCGAGUUGUUUGGGAAUACAGCUCAAAGUAGGUGGUAAAUUCCAUCUAAAGCUAAAUAUUGGUGCGAGACCGAUAGCGAACAAGUACCGUGAGGGAAAGAUGAAAAGAACUUUGAAAAGAGAGUUAAAGAGUACCUGAAACUGUUGAAAGGGAACCGUAUCGUUUCCAGUGUUGUAUCCUAUGCAUAUUUCAUUCGCGGAGUAAUUUGCGGGUGCCCUGUGCAUGGGUGUGACGUCAGGGUCAGUUUGUAUGCUGCGGGAGAUGGUCAGUGAGGAGGUGCGUCACUUCGGUGAAAGUUAUAUCUCGCUGUCUAGUAGCCGUGGUUGAGACUGAGGUGCCUACAACAUGCCUUAAGGUUCCGUGUUGUCUCGUGUUGGUGACUGCUUUGAUAGCUUGCUAUGUCUGUGGUUUAUCAGUGCGAUUGAUGAUGCGGAUAACUUUUGCUGUUCGGGACUCUGGCGAAAUGGAGCGAUACGACCCGUCUUGAAACACGGACCAAGGAGUCUAACAUGUGUGCAAGUAUUAGGGCGUGGAAACCCAAAUGCGUAAUGAAAGUAAAUGCUGCUUAUGCAGCUGUGGUAGGAAAGGGCUGUCAAGGUCCUGGCACUAUCGACCGAUCAUGAGCCUACGGGCAAAAGAUUUGAGUAUGAGCAUAUAUGUUGGUACCCGAAAGAUGGUGAACUAUGCCUGAAUAGGGUGAAGCCAGGGGAAACUCUGGUGGAAGCUCGUAGCGAUUCUGACGUGCAAAUCGAUCGUCAAAUU